CUGUGUCAGUUCCUCUCCUUGCUCGCGUAAUGGCCCCGUACUGGCGCAAGGUCCCUUGGAUACCUACCUUACUCUUCCCUGUCGAGGCCCUCGCUGCUAGUAUCAGACACGUACGGAGGAUGGCUUCCUGUAUGUCGAAUCGCGUUCCUGCGCCAUCCUGCGUUCAUCCCCGGUCGUCCGGAAGAUAUUCAUCAUACUCGUGCAGAGCGCAUCGUACCGGAGGAAGGUCCCUUCACUUCCUGCCUCUCACUAUUACUACUUUGGGUUCUACCUCCUUGCGCCUCACAUGCGAAUGACUUCUUUCACGUCGGCUGUCCAACCUUUUCGACGGGGAGGCGAAGACCUUCAGCACUGGCCAUCCACGAAGUCUUCAACCCUUUCUGGAUCUCGGU